UGCAGAGAUAGAGAUUUUUCUGCAGAGAAAACCAGCAUUUAAAAAACCCAGUCAUACAUUGAGAAAAGCUAGAAUUCGCAUCACAAAGCCAGGUUUGUGUGUGGAGUGGCUCCAAGAAUCUCAAAGGGACGUCGAGAUGCAGAACUGCAAACUCCAUGGGAGGACAAAAUAAAUAGAGCAGGAGAUGGCAACUCAUUCUCCUCCCACUGUUCUACCAUGUUUUGGCAAAGGGACUUGGGAGAUGUAGCCAUUUCUCUGUGCAGCAUUUCUCUCACAUCGCCUACCAAGAGAUGCACAGGCUCCUCCCCUCUGUCUUCAGAGCGUCCAUUCUUAAACUGAUCCAAACAGCUUGGGAAUGAAGAAAAAACUCCUGUCCAACUUAUGCCUUCAACUCUGCAGAGUUAAUUCGGUUGUUCUGUUUUUUGACGUUGUACUAUGCAAAGGGUUAAUAGAGUCUGGGCCUGGUGGCUGGGAUAGAUGACAUCAGGGUCAGACCACAAACCAAACCCUGUAAUUGGCUACAGUCUUCCACAUGGGAACCAAUUAAAUUAAAAGUUGGCUUUUCUCCUCUCUUUUUGGGAGGAGGGAUUUCUUUUUUUUUUCCUUUUGCGGGUUUGGACUGGAGAGAAUGUUGGUGGGAAAGGAGAGAAGAUGGUGAAGUGCCUCUCUUCCUCAGGCCUUACUCAGCUUGAGCUGAGAAGUUGACUUGGAGGUCUGUGGAGUACAAUAGCCCCAAGGACCAGGAUGAAAGAAUGGUGGUCAGCGGAACUAAACUGGAGGAUGUGAGAGCACGUCUUCUACACCAUGAAAAGACAAUGUUUUCUUAUGAAGG